GAUGAAGAACGUAGCGAAAUGCGAUACUUGGUGUGAAUUGCAGAAUCCCGUGAACCAUCGAGUCUUUGAACGCAAGUUGCGCCCGAAGCCGUCAGGCCGAGGGCACGCCUGCCUGGGCGUCACACGCCGUUGCCCCCCCGCGCCCCGCACCCAACUCUUUGGGAGCGACCGCGGGGCGGGCUGAUGAUGGCCUCCCGUGCGCUCCGCCGCGCGGUUGGCCCAAAUACCGAGUCCCCGGCGACGUGCGCCACGACGAUCGGUGGUUGAGAGACGUCUGUCGCAAGUCGUGCGCGCCCGUCGCGUCACGCGGGCUCGCAUAGCGCCUCGCGCCGCACCCGGUGCGGAGCUUUCAACGCGACCCCAGGUCAGGCGGGGUUACCCGCUGAAUUUAAGCAUAUCAAUAAGCGGAAGA
rnacentral:misc_RNA from 1 species